AUUGAACGCUGGCGGCAUGCUUUACACAUGCAAGUCGAACGCGAAAGGGGGCAACCCUGAGUAGAGUGGCGCACGGGUGAGUAAUGCAUCGGAACGCGUCCUGUAGCGGGGGAUAACCUAGCGAAAGCUAGGCUAAUACCGCAUACGCCCUGAGGGGGAAAGUGGGGGAUCGCAAGACCUCACACUAUAGGAGCGGCCGAUGCCGGAUUAGCUAGUUGGUGGGGUAAAAGCUCACCAAGGCGACGAUCCGUAGCUGGUCUGAGAGGAUGAUCAGCCACACUGGGACUGAGACACGGCCCAGACUCCUACGGGAGGCAGCAGUGGGGAAUUUUGGACAAUGGGGGCAACCCUGAUCCAGCCAUGCCGCGUGAGUGAAGAAGGCCUUCGGGUUGUAAAGCUCUUUCGGCCGGGACGAAAUCGCAUGGGUGAAUAUCCUGUGUGGAUGACGGUACCGGAAUAAGAAGCACCGGCUAACUACGUGCCAGCCGCCGCAGUAA
rnacentral:rRNA from 1 species